rnacentral:rRNA from 1 species
UACGGAGGGGGCUAGCGUUGUUCGGAAUUACUGGGCGUAAAGCGUGCGCAGGCGGUUUUGUAAGCCAGAUGUGAAAUCUCCGGGCUUAACCUGGGAAUGGCAUUUGGGACUGCAAGGCUGGAGUGCGGCAGAGGAGACUGGAAUUCCUGGUGUAGCAGUGAAAUGCGCAGAUAUCAGGAGGAACACCGGUGGCGAAGGCGGAUCUCUGGGCCAUUACUGACGCUGAGGAGCGAAAGCGUGGGGAGCGAACAGG